AUUUCAGGUGUUUGGAAGAACUUUACUGGAUGCAAGCAUAGAGAAGCGUAGUAUAGGGUAUUGUGGGACAUGCUGGUUGGGAUGUCCAACGGGACAGCACAUCCGUGCAUGUACAGAGGAUGAUUUUAAGCACAACCGUGUGAUUUGUAAAUGCGUACCUAUAUCAGAAAGUAAAAGAGACAUCCUAAUGAACGAGGAAUAGGUAUGGUACUUGUUGGACGAUUCUGAUAUGACGGUGUUAAUUUUUUGUGACAUUAUCAUAUGUGGAUUCUUUUUAACCAACCAACAUACAAAAUGAAAUGUUCGUCAGUUUCAAAUAAAACCUAGAUGUUUUA